rnacentral:rRNA from 1 species
CUUGGUCAUUUAGAGGAAGUAAAAGUCGUAACAAGGUUUCCGUAGGUGAACCUGCGGAAGGAUCAUUACUGAAUUUAAUGAAGGCAGUUGCUGGCUCUUUCACGAGAGCAUGUGCACGCCUUCAAAUUCAUCUCUUACCACUGUGAACUGUAGUAGACUAUGAUAUCUCUCAAUGGUUUUCCAUUGGAUUGAAGGACAUGCGCUUAGCUGUCUUUCGACUUCAUAGUCUCCCCCUUAUCUUUAUAAACUAAAGUCAUAGAAUGUCUUUUGUGGGUGUAAAAACCUAUAAACAUAUACAACUUUCAACAACGGAUCUCUUGGCUCUCGCAUCGAUGAAGAACGCAGCGAAAUGCGAUAAGUAAUGUGAAUUGCAGAAUUCAGUGAAUCAUCGAAUCUUUGAACGCACCUUGCACUCCUUGGUAUUCCGAGGAGUAUGCCUGUUUGAGUGUCAUUAAAUUCUCAAACCUCAUAGGCUUUAUUGACUAUGAGGCUUUGGAUNGUGGGGGUUGCUGGCUUUUCACGAAGUCAGCUCCUCUUAAAUACAUUAGUGGUUAUUGUUCUCCACUUCUUGGUGUGAUAAUUAUCUACGCCUAGUGAAGAAGUAAAGUGUAGCUGCUUUCUAACCGUCCAUUUACUUGGACAACUUGAACCUAUUGACCUCAAAUCAGGUAGGACUACCCGCUGAACUUAAGCAUAUCAAUAAGCGGAGGAAAAGAAACUAACAAGGAUUCCCCUAGUAACUGCGAGUGAAGCGGGAAAAGCUCAAAUUUAAAAUCUGGCGGUUCUUGUAGCCGUCCGAGUUGUAAUUUAGAGAAGUGUUAUCCGCGCUGGACCGUGUACAAGUUUCCUGGAAUGGAGCUAUCAUAGAGGGUGAGAAUCCCGUUCAUGACACGGACUACCAGGGCUUUGUGAUGCGCUCUCGAAGAGUCGAGUUGUUUGGGAAUGCAGCUCAAAAUGGGUGGUAAAUUCCAUCUAAAGCUAAAUAUUGGCGAGAGACCGAUAGCGAACAAGUACCGUGAGGGAAAGAUGAAAAGAACUUUGGAAAGAGAGUUAAACAGUACGUGAAAUUGUUGAAAGGGAAACGCUUGAAGU